UAGGGGAAUUUUCGUUCAAUGGGGGCAACCCGUGAACGAGCAAUGCCGCGUGAGCGAAGAAGGUCUUCGGAUUGUAAAGCUCUGUUGCCGGGGAAAAAGG
rnacentral:rRNA from 1 species